CAGAGGGAAGGAUAGAGAGAGGAGGACGAGGAGAGAAAAGCAGAGGUGGGGAGAGGGGAUGAAGACAAAGGGAGACCAUCCUAAGACCCCUGGCUCUCCACGUUCUGAACACAUGGAAGAUUGUGGACCUCCAUUCCCUCCAGCCAGACUCUUGGGCUCUUCCUCCUCCUCUUAGUAACCUGAGAGAUGCUGAGUGAGCUCCCCACCGGCCUGGGAGUAGGAAUGCUCUCCCCUGUGUUUAGAUUCUCCUCUGUGUUCAGAUGCUCCACUGCAUCCAAGAUGCUCCACUGCAGGUCCUGUCCACUUUGCUUUUUAAAUUCAUUAGGGAGCGUCCGUCUGUAUUCAUCUCUCCUCAAACACAAUGUAACCAGUAUUCGUCUCUCUUCAAACACAAUGUAACCGGUUGUCUUACCCUCAAGGUCUUGUUGCCACACCUACCCUCUACCGCAGGCUGUAUCCACUCCAAAGAUGGAAGAACCUGUUAAAAAUGAAAAUCAGCUCUUUUGUGGCACCUCCUAGGUGAUCAGCGUUACGGUGAAGUUGAAUAUCUCAUUCCCAGCCUCCAGCUGCCAAGUGGAUGACUGACAUCUUUGUGCUGAGCCCAUGGCUACAGGAGUAGCUGAUGCUCUGGGCGAAGAGUGGUGUGGUGGUUUGUAUGUGCUUGGCCCAGGGAAUGGCACUAUUAGGAGGUGUGGCCUUGUUGGAGGAAGCGUGUCACUGUGGGCAUAGGCUUUAAGACCCUUGUCCUAGCUUCUUUCUCCUGUUUGCCUUCAGAACAAGUUGAACUCUCAACUCCCCCUGUACCAUGCGUGCCUGGGUGCUGCCAUGCUUCCACCUUGAUGAUAAUGGACUGAACCUCUGAACCUGUAAGCCAGCCCCAAUUAAAUGUUGUUCUUACGGGCUGCAGAAAUGACUCAGUGGUUGGGGCACGGAUUGCUCUUCCAGAAGUCCUGAGUUCAAAUCCCAGCAACCACAUGGUAGCUUACAACCAUGAUGAUCUGAUGCCCUCUUCUGGUGUGUUUGAAGACAGCUACAGUGUACUUAUAUAUAAUAAAUAAAUAAAUCUAAAAAAAAAAA